CCUACGGGAGGCAGCAGUGGGGAAUAUUGCACAAUGGGGGAAACCCUGAUGCAGCGACGCCGCGUGAGUGAAGAAGUAAUUCGUUAUGUAAAGUUCUAUCAGCAGGGAAGAAAAUGACGGUACCUGAGUAAGAAGCACCGGCUAACUACGUGCCAGCAGCCGCGGUAAUACGUAGGGGGCAAGCGUUAUCCGGAUUUACUGGGAGUAAAGGGAGCGUAGACGGCAGUGCAAGUCUGGAGUGAAAGGCCGGGGCUCAACCACCGGACUGCUCUGGAAACUGUACGGCUGGAGUGCAGGAGAGGUAAGUGGAAUUCCUAGUGUAGCGGUGAAAUGCGUAGAUAUUAGGAGGAACACCAGUUGCGAAGGCGGCUUACUAGACUGUAACUGACGUUGAGGCGCGAAAGCGUGGGGAGCAAACAGGAUUAGAUACCCUAGUAGUC
rnacentral:rRNA from 1 species